AUUGAGCGCUGGCGGCAGGCCUAACACAUGCAAGUCGAACGGUAACAGGAAGAAGCUUGCUUCUUUGCUGACGAGUGGCGGACGGGUGAGUAAUGCCUGGGAAACUGCCUGAUGGAGGGGGAUAACUACUGGAAACGGUAGCUAAUACCGCAUAACGUCGCAAGACCAAAGAGGGGGACCUUCGGGCCUCUUGCCAUCGGAUGUGCCCAGAUGGGAUUAGCUAGUAGGUGGGGUAACGGCUCACCUAGGCGACGAUCCCUAGCUGGUCUGAGAGGAUGACCAGCCACACUGGAACUGAGACACGGUCCAGACUCCUACGGGAGGCAGCAGUGGGGAAUAUUGCACAAUGGGCGCAAGCCUGAUGCAGCCAUGCCGCGUGCAUGAAGAAGGCCUUCGGGUUGUAAAGUACUUUCAGCGGGGAGGAAGGGAGUAAAGUUAAUACCUUUGCUCAUUGACGUUACCCACAGAAGAAGCACCGGCUAACUCCGUG
rnacentral:rRNA from 1 species